ACAUAGAAUACGAGGCCGCGUGCGCUCGCCCGCCCGGCCCCGUCUCCUUACUACCUUGCCUACUGCACCGUUUGUCGCUUCCUGGCGGCGGCCUGCCCGCCGACCAGGGACGUUGAUACAACCCUGUAUAGAAGCAUUGAAGCUCUGAGAAAACGCGAAAUCGUA
rnacentral:misc_RNA from 1 species